ensembl:lncRNA
UGUUCAUUCCUUCAAGUGUGCUACAAAAUACUGGCGACGAGGAUGGGAUCGGCGGUGCCGUUUUGAGGUAGUUGUCUACGAAGACGCUGAGUAUGGACACUGAGCAACUGCAAGAUCAGCUGAGCGCUGCGUUGCUCCGGCUGCGGCUCAAUCAGCUGCACGAGGUGUGUGUGUAUGUGAAACUGUCAGUGGAGGAGGGACAAACCAAAAGGCACUCGCUGAUCAGAUUAAUAAAUGAAUCAGUAGAGAAUGUUAUAGAGACGGAAGAUGACGAUGUAGCCCGUCAACAUGUGUUAGAUUUGUUAGAGUUUUCUAGCAAGAUGACGCAAAGCAGCGACCGCGCGGUACAAGAUUGCAGUAGUGACGCAGACAGAAAUUCGGCGGAGCUCGCGCAUUUAAAGAGACAGUACACAGAAUUGCAGCAUCAGUUUGAGUUGUCAACAAAUGUGUUAAAAAACGAAAUCCAACGUCUGAGUUUGAAAGUUCCUGAUGUGUCAAGUCCCCCUGUGUUUUCUGAUCAUCAUCAUGCAGUUCCUGAAGUCACUAUCCGGCGUGAUUUUAAGAUUAAUGGCCAAAUUGGAGAACGUGGUCAGAAAGAUAAGCUUUCAUACAACAACUUGAUGCACCAAAUUGAUGCUGGAGUGAACAAGGGACACAGAGAGUCUGAAAUUAUUGAUGCUGUGAUAAGAGCGGUGAGUCCAGGUAUGAGCCUGCGUGAUAUGCUGGAGAUCAAGACUGAUUUAACCCUUUCUCAGCUGCGCACGAUUCUUAAAGGCCAUUAUAAGGAAGAAAGCUCCACAGACCUGUAUCAUCGGCUGAUAAACAUCACUCAAGAGAGCCGUGAGUCACCACAAAACUUCCUAUUCCGUGCCAUUGAGUUGAAGGAAAGACUUUUAGCUGCUGCUCGAGAACCAGAUGGAGAAGAACCAUACAGCCCUGAUCUCAUACAGAGAAGAUUUCUGCGCGCACUAGGAACAGGGUUAUCGAACGAUCACAUUAAGUAUCAGCUAAAAACUUGCCUUGAUGAUCCUACAAUCACAGAUGAGGUUCUCAUCACAGCUAUGAACAAAGCUGCAAGUCUUGAGUGUGAACGACAGCAAAAGUUCAAGAAAAAUGCCAACAUCAAAGAAACUAAAGUCAGUGAGGUUCCAGUAGAACUACGUCAAAGUCAAGAGAGAACGGGUCAUGCUGUGGGAGGUAAAGAACAGUCCACAUGCACACAAUUAAAAGCUUUGAAAACUCCACAAGUCAUGGACAAGAAAGACUCUGAGCUUUAUGAGGUCGUUAAACAGCUGAAAGAGGAGAUCG